GGGGUGGGGCCGUGGGGGGUGGCCAAAAGGAGUUCUAUUUUUUGGUUUAGGUAAUCGAGACGCAAUCUCGUCUUCGUCUUCGUCCGUGGUGGUUUGAGUCGAGCGAGGCGUUCUUUCUGUGAGAGUGGUCGCCGCCGGCCCGCCGUCUAGCUGCGGUUCUUUGUAUUCGCAACACGAACUAGCGUAGUUGGGUUGAGUGUUCAGUGUUGACGACGUUCCACGACGGCGGGGAAUGAGAGGGACACACUAGGUCGAACCUGCUCCUGCUCAGGAACAACGGCAACACGAGAGGGCCUGGGUCUAGAACUACGUUGACGGCCGAUCAAAUGAGUAGAUCUCCCUUCCUCCAGACGAACCCGAGAACUGGACUAAACUAAACCACCCCCGAGACGGCGCCAAGUUUCCCCCUGUCAACCCGCACCUAGAAAUAGUGGUCAACAACCACAACAGGAAAGUGUAGCGUCACCGGUGGCCAAACCAUGAAACAACUACCCAAUUCACAACACCCAAACAACUCCGCAAAGAAGAACCGAGGGUAAGCCACCACUGGCCACUCCAUCCCCUUUCAUCUUCUCGAUCUCUCUUUCGUUUUUCCCCUCCUCUAAACGUCCGACAAAAAGCCAAAACCGUGUUACUUCGUAUACUUCGAACCGAGGUUCGGCCUACAGAAAGUCUGUCUCCCGUCGUUAUAGUCCAAACAACGUUGUCUCGACCGUUGUCUGUAGCAAUAGAGGUAUCCCCUACAGUUCAAAAUAGAAGUGUUCAAGGGAGAAAACAGUUUCUCAAGUGCCAACGUUUCUAAUCAUCGAAGUUCAUUGGUCCUUUCGCUGCUACUUCACUUAUAUAGGCUGUAAGGACCACCACGAAGACGUAAACUUUAAACACGGUUCAAAACGAUGCCGUACUAACAUUGUGAGUUACGUAUAUUACAAGAACGACGAGCAACACGUCGACUCAUGGAUCUUUACAAACUCUGGUAACUGUUUCCUUUAGAAUAGAUGUUUUAACUACACAAGAACUGUAGCUCGUAAAAAGCGUGGACCUUUCUGAGUUAGUAUCAAGACGUUUCAUGUUUCAGCAACGACGGUACCAGACUCUUAAACUUCCAUUAGUUGGUGACGUAACUAAGGUAACGUAGCUUCCGCAGUUAACUAGGCAGUCUCCAACUCACCAGUAUGUGGAUGUUGUCUUUUUUCGAGGUUAGGUUCUUACCACAACUAAGAGUGACCUUACCUCAGUCCUACGUUGUCUACCAGGGAUUCCUGACCACCCAACUCCUGGAAAGACUUGAACUUUACCUAAACAUGUUCGCACACGAGGAUUGUUAGUUCCGUUUCCCUUCUUGUGGACGACAUCAAUAACCUCUUCGUGAUUCUCAGAUACGUAAGGCUACCGACAAACCAAGGGAACUUCUACGACACUCGUUACCUUAACUAACGUGUUUUGCAGCACGUCAAGAGCUUUCGUAACAUAAAGACGACGGGUGACUUUUUCCAAGUCACAGUACACCAAAAGAAGAGUUCAAUGAUUUACGACGUACGAACGACCUUAGACCUCUCAAAAUAGCACUAUUGAACCAUUUCUCUUAUCCGUGGGUUGACCUACCACGAAGUCAACGUCUGGAAGAAUAUGGUCGUUGGUCACGACUUUUACCACACAUAUUACAACUGGACUAGUACCGUUAUCAUCUCGUCAAGUACAGUGUAGUAUCACUAUUACCAUUUUACUGAAAAGUUCUACUACUACUUUAACACCUUCAGCUCUUCAAACGAAGACAAAGGUCGUGCAGUUUCGACCGUCAACGUUUCGACCAGCUACUUAUAGAACCACUCUAGCGAUUUCUGGGAUUGGACGGACAAGACUUCAAGUAACGUGAACGACUUUACCACAGACGGAGCAGGGCUGUUUACGUACUGCUUGAUAUGGUACGGUAGCUGUACAUAGAUUUCCUCGUGGGGUCGGAUAGUUUCUCGCUUUUCUUCUCUAAUACACCUAACUACCUGACGUUCUUCGACAGGGUCCUCCGGACGUACGUGCGCCACGUCUUACUUGCCGAAGGAGAAGCACAGCAACACGUUCAAGAGAAGAAACUCGUUCAGGCUCGUAGUCGGCGAAGACGGUCCUCACUGAGACCUCGGCUGGAAAGUAGGCGACAAGUGAGCGAAGAAGGGUCUCUCUUGCCGUUGAGUAUGCCGUCGAGUUCCAGUCGGCGGUGUUGUUGUUGGCUUCUCCUUCCGUCACCUCAGGGCUGUAGGUCGCUGUAUUUGAGAAAGUCCAGCUACGCCGAGCGCUUGUUGACGCCACCGUCGCUCUCCUCGUCGUGUUCGUCGCUGUAGUUGUUCUUGCCGCUUCUGUUCUCGUGGUGGUGGCCGUUCCGCUUUCACUACGACUACGGCUUCUACGAUUCGUUCGAGACCAGACCCUUCUGCGUGCAACCGCUCUUGUCGUCGAGUCUGCGCAGCCACUCGGGGCCUAGGCGGUUGGGCCUCCUCCACUUCAGCUGCGGCAGUGCCUUGUGCUCCGUUAGCUGCAGGAUCACCGACCACGAUUGUCAUAGUAUCGUGUGCAUCAAAAAGCGACAGUAACGAAACUAAAAAACGAAAUGUGCUCUCAUCGUUAGAAUUUUUCACCUCAUGAUGACUGACGGGACGGGACAGCGGUUACUACAAAAACUUCGUAAAAUACGAUCAUUGACCACAUCGGGCAUCUCCAGACCGGUAACCACAAGUCCUUGUGUAAAGUCCUCUAUUUUGACAUUAACAAAAACAAAAGCCACCGUUAUAUUUUCCUUCGGAAAAAACCUCCUCCGUCUGACCG
rnacentral:rRNA from 1 species